rnacentral:rRNA from 1 species
CAGUAGCCGCGGUAAUACGAAGGGGGCUAGCGUUGCUCGGAAUUACUGGGCGUAAAGGGAGCGUAGGCGGAUCGUUAAGUUGGGGGUGAAAGCCCGGGGCUCAACCUCGGAACUGCCUUCAAUACUGGCGAUCUUGAGUAUGAGAGAGGUGUGUGGAACUCCGAGUGUAGAGGUGAAAUUCGUAGAUAUUCGGAAGAACACCAGUGGCGAAGGCGACACACUGGCUCAUUACUGACGCUGAGGCGCGAAAGCGUGGGGAGCAAACAGGAUUAGAUACCCCUGUAGUCCCUGUCUCUUAUAC